UACGUAGGGGGCAAGCGUUGACCGGAAUUACUGGGCGUAAAGCGCGCGUAGGCGGCCUCUUAAGUCUGAUGUGAAAGCCCCCGGCUCAACCGGGGAGGGGCAUUGGAAACUGGGAGGCUUGAGUAUAGGAGAGAAGAGUGGAAUUCCACGUGUAGCGGUGAAAUGCGUAGAGAUGUGGAGGAACACCAGUGGCGAAGGCGACUCUCUGGCCAAUAACUGACGCUGAGGCGCGAGAGCGUGGGGAGCAAACAGG
rnacentral:misc_RNA from 1 species